AAAGAGUGUAGUUUUACAGUGUUCACAUCCAAAGUUUAACCGUUUAUUUUAUUUAAAUUUUUUAUAAUUAAUAUUUUUUUAUUUUUAGAUGAUAAAAUAUAAAUAAUACUUUAUAUAUCACUAAUUUUUUUAAAAAUAUUAUAAAUUUUUUAAAUAAAACGGAUGGUAAAAUAUUUGACACGGAAACUUGUAUCUGUACUUAAA
rnacentral:pre_miRNA from 1 species